AGUGAACGCUGGCGGUAGGCCUAACACAUGCAAGUCGAACGGCAGCACAGUAAGAGCUUGCUCUUACGGGUGGCGAGUGGCGGACGGGUGAGGAAUACAUCGGAAUCUACUUUUUCGUGGGGGAUAACGUAGGGAAACUUACGCUAAUACCGCAUACGACCUACGGGUGAAAGCAGUGGAUCUUCGGACCUUGCGCGAUUGAAUUAGCCGAUGUCGGAUUAGCUAGUUGGCGGGGUAAAGGCCCACCAAGGCGGCGAUCCGUAGCUGGUAUGAGAGGAUGGUCAGCCACACUGGAAGUGAGACACGGUCCAGACUCCUACGGGAGGGAGCAGUGGGGAAUAUUGGACAAUGGGCGCAAGCCUGAUCCAGCCAUACCGCGUGGGUGAAGAAGGCCUUCGGGUUGUAAAGCCCUUUUGUUGGGAAAGAAAAGCAGCAGGUUAAUACCCCGCUGUUCUGACGGUACACAAAGAAUAAGCAACGGCUAACUUCGUG
rnacentral:rRNA from 1 species